AUACUCCCUUGGGCAGCACAUAUACUAAAAUUGAAACUAUAUAGGGAAGAUUAGUGUAGCCCUACAGGAAGGUGAUGUGCAAAUUUAUGAAGCAUCUCACAUUUUC